AAUGAGCGCUGGCGGCAGGCCUAACACAUGCAAGUCGAACGGAUCCUUCGGGAUUAGUGGCGGACGGGUGAGUAACGCGUGGGAACAUACCCUUUGGUACGGAAUAGCCUCGGGAAACUGGGAGUAAUACCGUAUGUGGUCGAGAGACGAAAGAUUUAUCGCCAAAGGAUUGGCCCGCGUUGGAUUAGGUAGUUGGUGGGGUAAUGGCCUACCAAGCCGACGAUCCGUAGCUGGUUUGAAAGGAUGAUCAGCCACACUGGGACUGAGACACGGCCCAGACUCCUACGGGAGGCAGCAGUGGGGAAUCUUAGACAAUGGGGGAAGCCCUGAUCUAGCCAUGCCGCGUGAUCGAUGAAGGCCUUAGGGUUGUAAAGAUCUUUCAGGUGGGAAGAUAAUGACUGUACCACCAGAAGAAGCCCCGGCUAACUCCGUGCCAGCCGCCGCAGUAA
rnacentral:rRNA from 1 species